rnacentral:rRNA from 1 species
UACAGAGGGGGCAAGCGUUAUUCGGAAUUAUUGGGCGUAAAGGGCGCGUAGGCGGCUUGGCAAGUGGAUGGUGAAAUCCCUCGGCUUAACCGAGGAACUGCCGUCCAAACUGCUUCGCUUGAGACCGGGAGAGGUGAGUGGAAUUCCCAGUGUAGCGGUGAAAUGCGUAGAUAUUGGGAGGAACACCAGUGGCGAAGGCGGCUCACUGGACCGGUACUGACGCUGAUGCGCGAAAGCGUGGGGAGCAAAGCGGGG